rnacentral:rRNA from 1 species
GACAGAGGCCUCAAGCGUUAGGCGGAAUCACUAGGCUUAAAGCGUGUGUAGGCGGACGCCUAAGUGUCUUGUGAAAUCCCCCGGCUCACCCGGGGAACUGCUGGGCAUACUGGGCGUCUUGGGCCAACUAGGGGCAACUGGAACAAGCGGUGGAGCGGUGAAAUGCGUAGAUAUCGCUUGGAACGCCGAAGGUGAAAACAGGUUGCUGGGGUUGUGCCGACGCUGAGACACGAAAGCCAGGGGAGCAAACGGG